GAUGAACGCUGGCGGCGUGCUUAACACAUGCAAGUCGAACGGACUUAAGAUGAAGCCUAGCGAUUUUUAAGUUAGUGGCGGACGGGUGAGUAACGCGUGGGUAACCUGCCUUGUACAGGGGGAUAACAGUUAGAAAUAGCUGCUAAUACCGCAUAAGCGCACAGUGCCGCAUGGUACAGUGUGAAAAACUCCGGUGGUACAAGAUGGACCCGCGUCUGAUUAGCUGGUUGGUGAGGUAACGGCCCACCAAGGCGACGAUCAGUAGCCGGCCUGAGAGGGUGAACGGCCACAUUGGGACUGAGACACGGCCCAA
rnacentral:rRNA from 1 species